rnacentral:rRNA from 1 species
GCCUACGGCCAUACCACCCUGAAAGCGCCCGAUCUCGUCUGAUCUCGGAAGCUAAGCAGGGACGGGCUUGGUAGUACCUGGAUGGGAGACCGCCUGGAAUACCAGGUGUUGUAGGCU